AGAGAAGCGGCCACACAUCCUUGGUUUUGGAUUAGAGGAAUUGAUUAAACCAAACGUUGAAGCCCUUCUAGAGAUUAAUGUAAGGAAAACCUCAGUUCCUUCUGUGGUAGNNNNNNNNNNNUAUUGGAAUUGACCUGAAGGCAAAGCUUCUCAGCCAACAAAGUUUGCUUCAUUCAGUCAUUGAAUUGGGUCCCGAGGAUUUUGCUAGAGUUGUGGAGAAGAUGCCGCAAGUUGUCAGCCUUAGUAGAGUUCCUAUAUUGAAGCAUGUGGACUUCCUUAAGGAUUGUGGGUUUUCCUUGCAACAAGUGG
rnacentral:misc_RNA from 1 species